GAUGAGAACGUAGUGAAAUGCGAUACUUGGUGUGAAUUGCAGAAUCCCGUGAACCAUCGAGUCUUUGAACGCAAGUUGCGCCCGAAGCCUCGGCUAAGGGCACGUCUUCCUGGGCGUCACGCAUCGCGUCUCCCCCAAACCGCCAAGGCGGAGGGGAAGGAAGAUGGCUUCCCGUGCCUCACCCGGCGCGGUUGGCCUAAAUUUGGAGCCCGCGGCACUUAGCUCUCGCGGCGAUAGGUGGUGAACAAGGCCUUGGCCGUGCAAACAACCCGCUGCGAAGCUCUAUGUCACGUGCGCUCGUCGGACCCUUUGAAGUUGCCUUCGGUGACUUAAAACCUUUGCGACCCCAGGUCAGGCGGGGCUACCCGCUGAAUUUAAGCAUAUCAAUAAGCGGAGGA
rnacentral:misc_RNA from 1 species